rnacentral:rRNA from 1 species
GAUGAACGCUGACCGAAUGCUUAACACAUGCAAGUCAACUUGAAUUUGGGUUUUUAACUUAGGUUUGGGUGGCGGACGGGUGAGUAACGCGUAAAGAACUUGCCUCACAGCUAGGGACAACAUGUGGAAACGAAUGCUAAUACCUAAUAUUAUGAUAAUAGGGCAUCCUAUAAUUAUGAAAGCUAUAAGCGCUGUGAGAGAGCUUUGCGUCCCAUUAGCUAGUUGGAGAGGUAACGGCUCACCAAGGCGAUGAUGGGUAGCCGGCCUGAGAGGGUGAUCGGCCACAAGGGGACUGAGACACGGCCCUUACUCCUACGGGAGGCAGCAGUGGGGAAUAUUGGACAAUGGACCGAGAGUCUGAUCCAGCAAUUCUGUGUGCACGAUGAAGUUUUUCGGAAUGUAAAGUGCUUUCAGUUGGGAAGAAACAAAUGACGGUACCAACAGAAGAAGAGACGGCUAAAUACGUG